AUAUAAAAUACACACAGAAAAAAUUAACAGAGCGGUGAAAAUGGUGAA
rnacentral:guide_RNA from 1 species